rnacentral:lncRNA from 1 species
UCUUCAUGUUGACUUCCUAGCUUCUGUUAUAGAAGAAAAGAAGAACGGCUGAGGUCUGUGCCAGUCUCCGGAGUAUGGACUUCUCAGUUACCUACAGACUAGCUGGCCGAUCACUCCUAAGGGUGGGCGUUUCUGCUUAGGACAGCAACAAUAAGGCUCUAUUAAAUGAGUGCACCUGGGCCAGGAACAUAGCUCAGCAGCACAGCUCCUGCCUGUAAUGGGGAGAGAAAAAAUGGACCUAAGGAAGGAAUUCCACUCAGGGAACGGAUCAGGCAGACUUCAUCAGUUGUAAGAAUAAGAUCCAUGCAAAGAAUUCAAAGAGAAGAAAACAAGUAAGCAGCCGUGGCUGGAGCGAGCGGCAGGCACCCCAGGGGGAGAACCAGCCAGCGGCUCCAAGAUCUGCGCCAUGUUGGAACUUAGGCUGCUGGAAGCAAAGCAACCCGCUGGCCUCCUUGGUAAGCAGCCGUGAGCCUACCGGUGUGCGGG